rnacentral:tRNA from 1 species
GGUUGUAGCUCAGUGGUACAGCACUUGCCUUGCAUGAAGGAGGCCCUGGGUUUGAUCCUUAGCGCCA